rnacentral:rRNA from 1 species
GUGGGGAAUUUUGGACAAUGGGGGCAACCCUGAUCCAGCCAUUCCGCGUGAGUGAAGAAGGCCUUCGGGUUGUAAAGCUCUUUCGGCAGGAACGAAACGGUGAGCUCUAACAUAGCUCGCUAAUGACGGUACCUGAAGAAGAAGCACCGGCUAACUACGUGCCAGCAGCCGCGGUAAUACGUAGGGUGUGAGCGUUAAUCGGAAUUACUGGGCGUAAAGCGUGCGCAGGCGGUUGUGUAAGACAGGUGUGAAAUCCCCGGGCUUAACCUGGGAACUGCGCUUGUGACUGCACGGCUAGAGUAUGGCAGAGGGGGGUGGAAUUCCACGUGUAGCAGUGAAAUGCGUAGAGAUGUGGAGGAACACCGAUGGCGAAGGCAGCCCCCUGGGCCAAUACUGACGCUCAUGCACGAAAGCGUGGGGAGCAAACAGGAUUAGAAACCCCAGUAGUCC